CAGUCGCCGCGGGAAUACGGAGGGGGCUAGCGUUGUUCGGAAUUACUGGGCGUAAAGCGCACGUAGGCGGCUUGGUAAGUUAGAGGUGAAAGCCCGGAGCUCAACUCCGGAAUUGCCUUUAAGACUGCCGAGCUAGCAGGUGAGAGAGGUAAGUGGAAUUCCGAGUGUAGAGGUGAAAUUCGUAGAUAUUCGGAAGAACACCAGUGGCGAAGGCGGCUUACUGGCUCAUACUGGACGCUGAGGUGCGAAAGCGUGGGGAGCAAACAGGAUUAGAUACCCCAGUAGUCCCUGUCUCUUAUAC
rnacentral:rRNA from 1 species